CUUGGUGGUCCUGUCGCGCGGCCUGACGAUCUGCGGGCUCCUAAUGAGCUCUUGUUUCCCAAGGCAUUCUGAUGCACUCCAAAGCCUGUGAAGGUUGAGAAGUCCCACGGACCUUCAGAAAAGGCUGUGCCAAAGCCAUUCCAGGCAGAUGAAAGCCCCCUCUGAUAGGAAGAAACUCUCUGGAGGAGUGACUGGUUUCCACACUUCAGAGGAAAUUGAGGCUCAGAAAGAUGGUUCACUUGCUCAAGAGAAACUGGUGGUGCCGCGAUUCUCAGCAGGAUCUGCUGAGCUCCAAGCUGUGUCUGUGACACCAGGCUGCCUCCUCACCCCCACCACUGCCACGGCCCCUCUCGGGGCACCUCGGGGUGCCUUGCAGGUCCCAAAUGCCCACCAGCAAACUGGUGCUGGUCCCUGAUGAUGGCGUCACCAGGCCUAGAAGAAGUGGGAAAGAUAAAGUAAUACAGCUCUUUUCACUCAGCUAAAGUCUGUUUAAAGGAUUGGCCUCAAUUCUGAGAUUAUUUUCUUCAUUUUUAGGGUUAAAAAUUUAAA